CACGCGGACGGCUAGCCUAUUUGAUUGUUACUCGGUCAAGCCGCGUUUGGUAACCCCCUGAAGUCGCCCUCGCCGCUUUUACUGCCACUUCUUCUUAAGGAGUCGAACCAGCUUGGGGGUGGAAUGUAUUCAUGGUCGUUCACGAAUUUAUCGCCGUGGAUCGGUUCGGGAGAAGUUUUGUGCGUUUAGUAGGGGAACGUAUUAGGCGUAGGAAUUAGUUCUGUGCACUUUUUUUGUUCGAUAAUCCUUUAUAACUUUAAGUAGAAAUAUCUAAUCGUCUUGUUUUUAUAUGUUCUAGGUUCUCGACCUGGCCUUCGUUACGAUGAAUCUAUAGGUACGUUAUAUAACCUGAGCCCCUAACCCGAUGGCCAUUGCAAUACGGUGUUUAUUCGUUAAGAGCUCGCAGCCUCCGAGGUCUGGACGUUUGUACAAGAAAAAUUUCCUCCCAAGAUGAUGUUUGCAAUCGUAGACGCGUAAGAGGACUCGAAAACACUCCUAAGAACGACACCGUCGGCAUGUUGCCAGUGUCGCGAUCGCUAUACGACCGUCUGGUCCUAUAAAAAUGCUAAACGCGGAGUCUUGACAGAGGAUACGAAAAUCGAACGAUAUCGAAAAUUUAAGAACGUCAGGCGUGCAUUUCUCGCGCGUCGAGAUGCGCGAACGUGUACCAGAUUGAAUUUGCAUAGAUACGUUUAAGUACCGUACUCCCUACGGACGGCGAUACAGAGAUUACGCAAACGCAUCUAUGCCGAAUAUUAAAUUAUAAAUUCCUCUCGAUUCGAGAGGAAUGCACAUAACGUACAAAUAAGAAAAUGUUUGCGUAAUUGAAAUUCCUUAUGUAAAACAUAGUAACUGUCGUAUAGAUGAGUAUUGCUCCCAGAAGUGGGCCACGAAGAAUGAUCGAGGCGUGUUAAUAAACGCAGGAAAUAAUAAUGUCGGGAGUCACUUGAAAGCGACUGUUUACCUACUUCCUUAAGGACGGGGGAUCCCAACGAAAUGAACUGUAAAAUAAAAAUAAAUGUUACACUCGCGCGCACGUCUCGCACAUCUCAAAAUUAGGUCACUCGCGUGUCAGUUUAUUUGUUUUUUUUUUUU